rnacentral:rRNA from 1 species
UAUUAGAUAAAAAGCCAGUUCAUGCUUUUACAGUAUGAAAAUUGGUGAUUUAUAAUAACUUAGCAAAUCGCAAAGUGAAAACAGGCGAUAAAUCAUUCAAGUUUCUGACCUAUCAGCUUUCGACGGUAUGGUAUUGGCUUACCGUGGCAGUGACGGUUAACGGGGGAUUAGGGUUCGAUUCCGGAGAGGGAGCCUGAGAAACGGCUACCACAUCUAAGGAAGGCAGCAGGCGCGCAAAUUACCCAAUUCUAACAGUUUGAGAGAGGUAGUAACAAGAAAUAACAAUACAAGGCAGUUAAAAUGCUUUGUAAUUGGAAUGAUAGAAAUUUAAACCCUUUUUAAAGUAUCAAUUGGAGGGCAAGUCUGGUGCCAGCAGCCGCGGUAAUUCCAGCUCCAAUAGCGUAUAUUAAAAUUGUUGCAGUUAAAAAGCUCGUAGUUGAAGUUCUGCUGAAAGUAACCGGUCUGCUUUUAAUAAAAGUGGUAUCUUGGUAUGUAUUUAGCAAUGAUGUCCUUUGAAGUGUUUUUUACUUUAUUGUAAUAAAGCAUAUUCAGGACUUUUACUUUGAGAAAAUUAGAGUGUUUCUAGCAGGCUAACGCUUUGAAUACUGC